rnacentral:lncRNA from 1 species
GCUCAUUCUAUGUAUAAAUAGAUCGAAUUUCAUGAGGUAAGUAACUUCACUGAAAGGCACUGUCUACCAACAAGGUACACACAUUCAAAAGAACAGGUCAAUAUGAAAAGAAGUGGUCUCUUUCUCCUUGCCAUGAUUGUAUGUUCAAUCGCACUAAGCAACGGGUAUAACGGAGAUAAUGGAAAUGGCAAUGGCGAUAAUGGAUACAGUGGCGAUAAUGGAGACAAUGGCGAUAACGGAUACAAUGGCGAUAAUGGAGACAACGGAGAUAACGAUAAAUAGGGGAAAUUACAACGAGGAGCGUUUAUCUUGCAUGGCCGAAAGCAAAGAUUCUACGACUAAAAUAUAUCAACAUGUAUGUUUGAAAUAUGAAAUGUAAUGCAUUAAUAACUAUAUGAUACCAAAACCUCAUAUUAAAGAAUAAUGCAAAAACGGAUGUAUAUUAAAUGUCAAAUAAUGUCAAGGAAAAUAUAAUUCAAAUUCAAAGUGUGUUAUCUACUGCUAAAGUUAAGUUUUUAGAUAUAUUUAUCAAGAAUUGUCAAGUUUGCUUCAAUUUGCAUUAAGGCAGUUCUGCGUGAUUGAAAAAAAACGUCAUUUAUUCGAAUAUCAUGAAAUAAAUCCUGUAUUCGGUCAGCA